CCUACGGUGGACAGCAGUGAGGAAUAUUGGUCAAUGGGCGGGAGCCUGAACCAGCCAAGCCGCGUGAGGGAAGAAGGUACAGCGUAUCGUACACCUCUUUUGUCAGGGAACAAAGGCGGGGUCUAGUCACCGGAUGAGGGUACCUGAAGAAAAAGCAUCGGAAAAAUCCGUGCCAGAAGCCGCGGUAAUACGGAGGAUGCGAGCGUUAUCCGGAUUUAGUGGGUUUAAAGGGUGCGCAGGCGGCCUUUUAAGUCCGCGGUAAAAGCCCGGGGCUAAACCCCGGCGAGCCGUUGAAACUGGGGGGCUGGAGUUGGGGAGAGGUACGGGGAAU
rnacentral:rRNA from 1 species